rnacentral:rRNA from 1 species
UACAGAGGGUGCAAACGUUGUUCGGAAUUACUGGGCGUAAAGCGCGUGUAGGCGGCUUGGUAAGUCGGAUGUGAAAGCCCACGGCUCAACCGUGGAAGUGCAUACGAAACUGCCUGGCUAGAGUCCUGGAGAGGAAGGUGGAAUGCUUGGUGUAGAGGUGAAAUUCGUAGAUAUCAAGCGGAACACCGGUGGCGAAGGCGGCCUUCUGGACAGUGACUGACGCUGAGACGCGAAAGCGUGGGGAGCAAACAGG